GUGCUCGCUUCGGCAGCACGUAUACUAAAACUGGAACGACACAGAGACGAUUAGCACGGCCCCUGCGCAGGGGUGACACGCAGAUUCGUGAAGCAAGCGUUCCAUGUUUUA